rnacentral:lncRNA from 7 species
AUAAGACAGACAGACAGACAGAUCGAGAGGUCUGUAGGAGCACACACUCUUUUUUUUUGUUUUUCGUAGUAGGAAUUUCUUCUUAGAUUCUUUUUUUUUCUGUAGGAGCACACACACACAUAUAUCAGAGAACUAAAGUAGAGGCUCUCCAGCAAUGCAGCACCCACUCUGCGGCAGCUGAUCCCCAGCCCUGCAGGGACCAUGCUUUCCAAACUCACAACCACCGCCGUGUAGUAGUUUUCACGGACCGAGAGACAUGCAUGAGAGCGUUACGGUUUUGCUGCCUCGAAUUUUUGUGCUCUCGACGGCACCCUUUGUCCCUUUCUACUCGAGGCAGCAAUCCAUCCUCGAUCACAACGCAAAAGUAGCAAAAAAGGGGGAGAUCGAUCGAGAACGCAAGGCGAAAGAUGAGCUAGGCAGGUAAGAUUAAAGACGCAAUGGUUUGCAGCAGCAACACGUUACACGUCGCGAACUCGCGACGGAAGAGCCUGCUGCUCCACGCCACACAAAUUUGGGGCGUGCAGCGUGCUGGCUGAUGACGGAUCCCGUGGUUGGUGUUGAAGUAUACUCAGUGAUAACGAGAUUGAGAGAGAGACAAAUGACAGCGAUCUUUCAUUAUUGCAGGGGAGUCCUGGUUAUAUACAUGUGAAGGGGUGUAUCCCAAGGGGUAUGUCCCUUAGAGAGAUUCUGCCGCACCCUUUAGAUUGGUCACAUAUACAAUAUACAAUAUUUUGUAACACUCCCCCUUGAUCAAUCCAAGUCCAUUUG